rnacentral:rRNA from 1 species
GACGAACCGUGCGAACGUUGUUCGGAAUCACUGGGCUUAAAGGGUGCGUAGGCGGGUUGUCCAGUCUGGGGUGAAAUCCCACGGCUCAACCGUGGAAUUGCCUCCGAUACUGACGACCUCGAGGGAGGUAGGGGCGAGCGGAACUGUGGGUGGAGCGGUGAAAUGCGUUGAUAUCCACAGGAACUCCGGUGGCGAAGGCGGCUCGCUGGACCUCUUCUGACGCUGAGGCACGAAAGCGUGGGGAGCAAACAGG